AUUUUAGUAUAAUUAUAUCCCAUGAAAUAUUUGAGAUACUUACACUAAAA
rnacentral:miRNA from 1 species